ACGAAGGGGGCUAGCGUUGUUCGGAUUUACUGGGCGUAAAGGGCGCGUAGGCGGCAAUUCAAGUCAGCUGUGAAAUCUCCGGGCUUAACUCGGAACGGUCAGCUGAUACUGCUUUGCUAGAGUGCGGAAGGGGCAAUCGGAAUUCUCGGUGUAGCGGUGAAAUGCGUAGAUAUCGAGAGGAACACCUGCGGCGAAGGCGGGUUGCUGGGCUGACACUGACGCUGAUGCGCGAAAGCUAGGGGAGCGAACGGGA
rnacentral:rRNA from 1 species